rnacentral:lncRNA from 12 species
UUGAGGUGUAUCCUUCCCUCCUUUCACAAAUGCAUUGUUGAAUGACAACCAUGCCUUGGAUACAGGCUGCAUGUUAUUGACCUUAUCUCUUUAGGAUUGGCAUAAAAUAUAUGAGAAAUCUUUUAUUUCAUCUAUUGAUAAGGCGAAAUUAAAUGACAUAAUACUUACUGUAACUUCAACAUAUGUUCCAAAAUUUCAACCAAAAAUAUUUUCCCAAGGUUAAGAAAAUAUUUGAAUGGUAAGGGUAAAAUAUAUCAUGUUUUUUUUUCCACAAAUCUUCCAUUUUUAAUUUUUUGAGUCCUUGAGAAGUGAAAACUUACGCUAUAUUCUUCUAGUGUGAACUAACCCAUUUUACUAUUCAGGCCCUAUUCAUUUGGGGAAAAUUUGCUUCUCAAGUGGCACACUGCUUUUUUUUUUUGUGAUAGUGGCGGAGAUAGGGAGGAUUUCCUUGGGAAACAGGCAGUGGAGUUGGUGGGGAGGAAGAGAGAAAUAGGGAAAGAUUAAAAUGGUUUCCUUUUUUUUCUUUCAGGGCCAGAUAAUAAUAGGUGGGGCCUGGUUUCCUGCAAAAUCAAUGGAGGCCAGCGGGUCAGCAGCUACAGGAGCCUAUGUCAGGGGAGCAAAACUGGUUCAGAGAUGUUGGGGACAGCGGAGUGGCCUAUACUCGGACCUUGUAGGGGCUCCUGGGGGCUUCAGGCGGAUCAAUCCUCAUCACACAGGGAGACCAGUGGAGCCAGAGUCCAGGCAAGCACAGACUCUAGACCCAGUUGCCCCAGUCCCAUCCUGGGCCUGCCCCUCGCCUUGAAAUUUCUGCGUGACCCACUUCACUUCUCUCCCUUUCAGUGUUCUCAUUUGUAAGAUAGAGAACAAUUCUACCCAUGAGUGCUGUUAUGGGCAUUAAAUGGGCUCAUCUACAUAAGGCACUUUGAACUCGGACCAGCUCAGGUCGAGAACUUGACGUAAAUGUUGGUCAAGUAAAUAAAAUACCUCCCCCCCUCCCCCCGAGGGAACA